AAUCUGGAGCCCCCCGGCCCCCGAGUUGUAAUUUGGAGAGGCAUCUUCGGGGGGGAGCGCCGGCCCAUGUUCCUUGGAACAGGACGUCGCAGAGGGUGAGAAUCCCGUGCCAGGCCGGCUGCCUCCUCCCUAGUGAAGGGCCUUCGACGAGUCGAGUUGUUUGGGAAUGCAGCUCCAAGUGGGUGGUAAAUUUCAUCUAAAGCUAAAUACCGGCGGGAGACCGAUAGCGCACAAGUAGAGUGAUCGAAAGAUGAAAAGCACUUUGAAAAUAGAGUCAAAAAGUACGUGAAAUUGUUGAAAGGGAAGCGCUUGAGACCAGACUCAGACCCGAGCAAACACCGCGCCCCUCGGGGCCGUGCAAUUGCCUGGGGCUGGGCCAGCAUCAGUUGGCGUGGCGGGACAAAGGCGCGGGGAAUGUGGCUCCCCUCGGGGAGUGUUAUUAGGCCCGCGCUCAAUGCCGCCGCCGCCGACUGAGGACCGCGCCUCGGCUAGGAUGCUGGCUUAAUGGCCUUCAGCGACCCGUCUUGAAACACGGACCAAGGAGUCUAACAUCUAUGCGAGUGUUUGGGCGUCAAACCCUUGCGCGGAAUGAAAGUGAGCGGAGGUGGGAACCCCUUCGCAGGGCGCACCAUCGACCGAUCCUGAUGUCUUCGGAUGGAUUUGAGUAG
rnacentral:rRNA from 1 species